GGAUUCCCGUCGAGAAAGAACUAGCCAUUCACUCGUAGCGAGUCUUGGAGGGCUUGUGGCAACAUAAGCUUUUAAGCGUAGACAGUGAGGUAAUGGGCGGAAAGCCAAGAGCGGUUGAAGGGAUAGAGCUCCGAAAUUUCGUGAAUAAACAGGAAGGUCGAUAAGCUCAGGAGCUUAGAAGACAACACUGGGGUUUUCAAUAAACGGCAAGAAAAUCUCAGCUUCCUCGGAGUCAAUGACCU
rfam:Oceanobacillus oncorhynchi strain Oc5 genome assembly, contig: CONTIG000001